UACAGAGGGGGCAAGCGUUUGUUCGGAAUUACUGGGCGUAAAGCGCGUGUAGGCGGCGGCGUAAGUCGGGUGUGAAAUCCCUCAGCUCAACUGAGGAAGUGCACUCGAUACUGUGUCGCUUGAAUGUCGGAGGGGAUGGCGGAAUUCCCGGUGUGAGAGGUGAAAGUUCGUAGAUAUCGGGAGGAACACCUGUGGCGAAGGCGGCCAUCUGGACGACAUUGACGCUGAGACGCGAAAGCGUGGGUAGCAAAACAGG
rnacentral:rRNA from 1 species